UGACAGUUCCCAAAUCACCCAUGCAAUAACUGUAUGAUAACAUAUAAAUGCAUGAUAUUUGUUAAGAACAAAGAAAUCUUCUUUUGCAUUUUGUUGUUACCAGUCCUCAUCAUUAUAAGUAAAAUUUGUGAACAUUCUUUUUUCAGGUGAGUUUUUAAUCUUUGCAGAGCCCUUUUCUGUCAUGCAGAUAUUUAUAUUAUUAAUUUAAAAUUAUAUUUGUUACUCACUAUAGUGCAAGAUCAGAUGACAUCAUAGUUAGAGGGUCUGCAGCCCAUGAGAUUUUGUUUAAAGUGAACAGAUUUGAUGAGGUACUUUUAAUUCAAGGGCAAACUAUGAAUGCCAGUGUUCAUUACCUUCAACACAAUGACGUGUUUACAAUAGGGCAAAGAAAAUUCAAAUGGAAAUACCCGCACAAGAAAGAUACUGAAAAUGUUGAACAUACUGGAGAGGUUAUGCAUGUUUCAGAUGAAAAUGAUAAAGUUGAAAAAACACCACCAAAUGAAGUCCAAGAGUUGGUCAGUGACAAAGAAUUGGCAACAUGUGAUGAAAUUGACUUUGUAAAUGCUGUAAAUACAAUGGGACUAAGUAAUUAUUAUACAGAUACUGAAUAUGUUGAACAUACUGGAGAGAGCAUGCAUUUUUCUGAAGAAAAUAAUAGUGGUGAGGAAACAGCAUCAAAUGAAGUCCAAGAGUUGGUCAGUGACAAAGAAGGGGCAACAUGUGAUGAAACUGACUCUGUAGAAACUGUUAAUACAAUGGGACUAAGUAAUUAUUAUACAGAUACUGAAGAUUUUGAACAUACUGGAGAGAGCAUGGAUGUUUCAGAUGAAAAUGAUAAAGUGAAGAAACGCCACCAAAUGAAGUCUGAGAGUUGGUUAGUGACAAUGGAGAAGGGUCAGAAUUUAACUCAGUUGACAGACCAUACAGUUGGGUGAAUUCUAGAGAGAGGUUGACAGAUGGACAAGGCAGUGUAACAAGCAGAAACAAAAACACAGUCAUUUUUUUAGAGAUGAGCAAGAACCAGAAGAUGAACAAGAUAGCGAUGAGUAAGAGCAAGAUGCUGCUGUUUGUGAUGAACUACUCAGACUGCAGUGAAGACUUAGAGAGUACUCCAAGCAAAGACGAUCAGGAUUAUUAUGAUGUCAAAUGGUAAACAGAAUUAUAAAAUUGCAGCCUCAUUUUGAUUCGGACAUCAACUGCUUGCUCAAAUUUGGGAGGGACAGCUCCAUCUAAGAUGUAUUGUAUUGUGUUCUUGUCAAAGAUGGUGAAUUUUGUUGAUUCUAAAAAAAUAAAAUGAUUAAGUUCA